rfam:Oryza punctata chromosome 7, whole genome shotgun sequence.
GUGCAGUUUAAUUUGCAUGGUUCAUGUUCAACGUUUAACCGUUUGUUUUAUUUAAAAAAUUUUUAUGAUUAGUAUUUUUAUUGUUAUUAGAUAAUAAAACAUGAAUUAUACUUUGUGUGAUUAUUUUUUUUUAAAUUUUUCAUAAACUUAUCAAAUAAGACGGACGAUCAAACAUUAGACACGAAAAUCCACUGCUGUACUUAAA